rnacentral:rRNA from 1 species
CAGGUGGUGGCAUGGUUGUCGUCAGCUCGUGUCGUGAGAUGUUGGUUAAGUCCCGCAACGAGCGCAACCCUCGACCUUAGUUGCCAGCAUUCAGUUGGGCACUCUAAGGUGACUGCCGGCUAAAAGUCGGAGGAAGGUGGGGAUGACGUCAAAUCAUCAUGCCCCUUAUGACCUGGGCUACACACGUGCUACAAUGGGCGGUACAAAGGGUCGCGAACCCGCGAGGGGGAGCCAAUCCCAAAAAGCCGCUCUCAGUUCGGAUUGCAGGCUGCAACUCGCCUGCAUGAAGCCGGAAUCGCUAGUAAUCGCGGAUCAGCAUGCCGCGGUGAAUACGUUCCCGGGCCUU